rnacentral:rRNA from 1 species
GACAUAGGUGGCAAACGUUAUCCGGAAUUAUUGGGCGUAAAGGGCGCGUAGGCGGCUUGAUAAGUCAAAGGUGAAAUCCCUCGGCUCAACUGAGGAAUUGCCUUUGAAACUGUCUGGCUCGAGGCCGGGAGGGGGUAGCGGAAUUCCCAGUGUAGCGGUGAAAUGCGUAGAUAUUGGGAGGAACACCGGUGGCGAAGGCGGCUACCUGGACCGGUUCUGACGCUUAUGCGCGAAAGCGUGGGGAGCAAACAGG